GUGCCGUCGGGCCUCGCGUCUCUGGGCCUGUCCCGGCGGGGCGGAGGCAGGUGGCGCGGAGGGAGCCAAGGACGCGGGGCACCAAUGCUGCCCACGGACAGGCUGGCAGGGACAGGCGGAGGAAGCGCCCUGCGCCCCGGGGCGGGAGGUGAGAGCCAGCGCACGUGUCACCGGCCAGGCCCGACGGCUCCCGUGUGGCUCCUGCUGCUUAUAAAGGGCGCCCGCCCCAGUCCCUCACCCUUCCCCGGCCUCGGAAUGACCUUGCUUGGACAUGGGAUCGUUAUGGAUAUAACUAACUGAGACGAGGCCCUGCCGGUGCACAGUUGCCUGCUUGCCUUUUUGUGUUUAUCUUGCUAAGUACUGCCAGGCUUAACCUGGGGACCUCAGAGGACAAGACUCAUGGCUAUAGAGAAGGCCGGCCUGUGGGACCGACCCCGCCUGCUCGCAGGCACAGACGGCUUUUGAAGGAGUCUGGACACCCUUCUCGCCACGGCCUUCCCUGACGCACAGGCAUGCGGCCUGCAUUCUUGAAGCGGCACGACUUUCAAAUCUAAAAAGGCACCUGGACCAAACCAGAGCUCGUUUUAAGCACACUCAUUGA